UACGAAGGGGGCGAGCGUUGUUCGGAUUUACUGGGCGUAAAGGGCGCGCAGGCGGCUCAUUUUGUCAGGCGUGAAAGCCCCGGGCUUAACCUGGGAACUGCGUUUGAUACGGAUGGGCUAGAGUUCGGGAGAGGAGAGUGGAAUUCCCAGUGUAGAGGUGAAAUUCGUAGAUAUUGGGAAGAACACCGGUGGCGAAGGCGCUCUCUGGACCGAUACUGACGCUG
rnacentral:rRNA from 1 species